ensembl:snRNA U6 U6 spliceosomal RNA
GUGCUAGCUUUGGCAGGACAUAUACUAAAAUUGGAACGAUACGGAGAUUAGCAUGGUGCCUGCACAAGAAUAACAUGCAAAUUCAUGAAGCAUUCCAUAUUUUG